CCAAGCAGGUUUUGGGUAUCACUUAAGGAGAAAAAACAAAAUUUUGAAUCCAGCCUCAGUGUAUCAUGGCCUUCACAAAAAUGUAUGGUAACCAUCCAUGGUGGUAGCUGUAGCCAGGUAGGGGUCAAUGAUUGUCAUUGAUGU